UAUUGCACUUGUCCCGGCUCG
rnacentral:miRNA from 1 species